rnacentral:rRNA from 1 species
ACGUAGGGUGCAAGCGUUGUCCGGAAUUAUUGGGCGUAAAGAGCUCGUAGGCGGUUUGUCGCGUCUGCUGUGAAAACUCGGGGCUCAACUCCGAGCUUGCAGUGGGUACGGGCAGACUAGAGUGCGGUAGGGGAGACUGGAAUUCCUGGUGUAGCGGUGGAAUGCGCAGAUAUCAGGAGGAACACCGGUGGCGAAGGCGGGUCUCUGGGCCGUAACUGACGCUGAGGAGCGAAAGCAUGGGGAGCGAACAGGA